rnacentral:rRNA from 1 species
CAGCAGCCGCGGUAAAACGUAGGUGGCAAGCGUUGUCCGGAAUUAUUGGGCGUAAAGGGCUCGCAGGCGGUUUCUUAAGUCUGAUGUGAAAGCCCCCGGCUCAACCGGGGAGGGUCAUUGGAAACUGGGAAACCUGAGCGCAGAAGAGGAGAGUGGAAUUCCACGUGUAGCGGUGAAAUGCGUAGAGAUGUGGAGGAACACCAGUGGCGAAGGCGACUCUCUGGUCUGUAACUGACGCUGAGGAGCAAAAGCGUGGGGAGCGAACAGGAUUAGAUACCCCAGUAGUCCCUGUCUCUUAUAC